rnacentral:rRNA from 1 species
UUAUGUUGCCUCGGCGGAUCAGCCCGCGCCCCGUAAAAAGGGACGGCCCGCCGCAGGAACCCUAAACUCUGUUUUUAGUGGAACUUCUGAGUAUAAAAAACAAAUAAAUCAAAACUUUCAACAACGGAUCUCUUGGUUCUGGCAUCGAUGAAGAACGCAGCAAAAUGCGAUAAGUAAUGUGAAUUGCAGAAUUCAGUGAAUCAUCGAAUCUUUGAACGCACAUUGCGCCCGCCAGUAUUCUGGCGGGCAUGCCUGUUCGAGCGUCAUUUCAACCCUCAAGCCCAGCUUGGUGUUGGGAGCUGCAGUCCUGCUGCACUCCCCAAAUACAUUGGCGGUCACGUCGAGCUUCCAUAGCGUAGUAAUUUACACAUCGUUACUGGUAAUCGUCGCGGCCACGCCGUUAAACCCCAACUUCUGAAUGUUGACCUCGGAUCAGGUAGGAAUACCCGCUGAACUUAAGCAUAUC